GACGAACGCUGGCGGCGUGCCUAAUACAUGCAAGUCGAACGCACAGUUUAUACCGUAGCUUGCUACACCAUAGACUGUGAGUUGCGAACGGGUGAGUAACGCGUAGGUAACCUGCCUGGUAGCGGGGGAUAACUAUUGGAAACGAUAGCUAAUACCGCAUAAUAUUAAUUAUUGCAUGAUAAUUAAUUGAAAGGUGCAAUUGCACCACUACCAGAUGGACCUGCGUUGUAUUAGCUAGUAGGUGAGGUAACGGCUCACCUAGGCGACGAUACAUAGCCGACCUGAGAGGGUGAUCGGCCACACUGGGACUGAGACACGGCCCAGACUCCUACGGGAGGCAGCAGUAGGGAAUCUUCGGCAAUGGACGAAAGUCUGACCGAGCAACGCCGCGUGAGUGAAGAAGGGUGUCGGAUCGUAAAGCUCUGUUGUAAGAGAAGAACGGGUGUGAGAGUGGAAAGUUCACACUGUGACGGUAUCUUACCAGAAAGGGACGGCUAACUACGUG
rnacentral:rRNA from 1 species